GUUUGGCAUUAGAAAUUCCAUCUGAACUUUAUUUCAUGUGAACAUGUAUUUUGUGGUGAAGAUGAACUCUAGAAUCAGGUACUACAAUUUGAACGCUGGCUCCACAACUGAUGAGGUACAUGCCCUGGGACAAACCACACCACCUCUCAGAGCCUGUCACAAGGCAGUCAGGACAUUUUAGGAGCAAACGCCUAUGUAGCUCGUAAAAAGGGCUUGGCUUGUGCCGGAUCCACACAGCGUGACAUGUGCUUGUGAAAGGAACUCAUCUGGUAGAAGUUCUCCUGCCCUUAUGCCAUGCAGAGUUCAGCUGGAAUUUGAAGCUUGAGUAGUGUUUCUUUUCAAAGGCCAUUAACUGUCCAUGAUAACCUAAAGUUAUUAUGAACUGUAACAUUCCAUUCAUCCUGGACUGUUGACUGAUCACAUGUCUAAUUUCAUAGUAACACAAUAGGUCACAACAGUUAUUUUAUUUACUAAUUCAGAGAUUAGAUUGGUUUAAGUUGAAUAUCAAAUUGCCAGGUCAUAAUAAAAUGAUUUUUUUAAAAGAAUG
rnacentral:lncRNA from 1 species